ensembl:lncRNA
CUAGAGAUCUGCUCAGAGAACCACUGCACCACAGGACACCGGUGGCCAGCUGCCUUUCUCACCAAAAACCUGAAAUAAACAAGUUGUUUAGAGGUGUGCCUUGGGAAAACAAACAGUUGUGACUGGUGACAUAGUUAGUUAUGAAAGAAACCGGUCUACUUCGUGGAUGAUAAAAUAACAACACAGCUGGCUCGAAUGCUCUUGUUUGAAUGGAUGAGGCACACUGGAUGCUGGGAAUUACAGCUAGGGUUCACUGCCAACUGGGUGAGCAUCCAUAAGGCCUCAUGACCCCGACACAAAAGAGCAGAUAAACAUGGGCUCCCAGCAACCCCUGCUUUUCAACCAUCAUCUCUGAUUUAACCCCA